rnacentral:rRNA from 1 species
GACGAACGCUGGCGGCGUGCUUAACACAUGCAAGUCGAACGGAAAGGCCCUGCUUUUGUUGGGUGCUCGAGUGGCGAACGGGUGAGUAACACGUGAGUAACCUGCCCUUGACUUUGUGAUAACUUCAGGAAACUGGGGCUAAUACCGGAUAGGAGCUCCUGCUGCAUGGUGGGGGUUGGAAAGUUUCGGCGGUUGGGGAUGGACUCGCGGCUUAUCAGCUUGUUGGUGGGGUAGUGGCUUACCAAGGCUUUGACGGGUAGCCGGCCUGAGAGGGUGACCGGCCACAUUGGGACUGAGAUACGGCCCAGACGCCUACGGGAGGCAGAAGUGGGGAAUAUUGCACAAUGGGCGGAAGCCUGAUGCAGCAACGCCGCGUGCGGGAUGACGGCCUUCGGGUUGUAAACCGCUUUCGCCUGUGACGAAGCGUGAGUGACGGUAAUGGGUAAAGAAGCACCGGCUAACUACGUG